AACCCUCGCUGUGUGUUAUAUGUGUCACACGGGACUGCCGGUCUUAAGCCGAGGAAGUGGGGAUGAUGUCAAGUCAGCAUGGCCUUUAUAUCCUGGGCUACACACACGCUACAAUGGCCAACACGAUAGGUUGCUAAGCCGCGAGGUGGCGCCAAUCCAUAAAGUUGGUCUCAGUUCAGAUUGUAGGCUGCAACCCGCCUGCAUGAAGAUGGAGUUGCUAGUAACCGCAGGUCAGCUAUACUGCGGUGAAUACGUUCCCGGGGCUU
rnacentral:rRNA from 1 species